rnacentral:rRNA from 1 species
GAACGAACGCUGGCGGCAGGCUUAACCCAUGCAAGUCGAACGCCCCGCAAGGGGAGUGGCAGACGGGUGAGUAACGCGUGGGAACAUACCCUUUCCUGCGGAAUAGCUCCGGGAAACUGGAAUUAAUACCGCAUACGCCCUACGGGGGAAAGAUUUAUCGGGGAAGGAUUGGCCCGCGUUGGAUUAGCUAGUUGGUGGGGUAAAGGCCUACCAAGGCGACGAUCCAUAGCUGGUCUGAGAGGAUGAUCAGCCACAUUGGGACUGAGACACGGCCCAAACUCCUACGGGAGGCAGCAGUGGGGAAUAUUGGACAAUGGGCGCAAGCCUGAUCCAGCCAUGCCGCGUGAGUGAUGAAGGCCUUAGGGUUGUAAAGCUCUUUCACCGAUGAAGAUAAUGACGGUAGUCGGAGAAGAAGCCCCGGCUAACUUCGUG